GCGCGACGCCCCCGGAGGCGCCUGGAGUCAGUGCGGAGCCCCGUGAGGCGCGGGGAGAAGAGGCAGCGGGCGGAGGGGAGCAGCGGGUGGUCCGAGGCGGCGCAGCCCAGGGUGGGCGCCUGACCCACGUUCUCUGGCUCUUGUCGACGGCGCAAGCUAACGCAAACACACAUGGUCGGACGCAUGCACAGCACGCCUAGAAGCGGAUCAAGAAGUAAUUAUAGAACAAGCUUUCCAGCGCCUCACUCAGUCACACCUCCUUCAAGAGCUGUGAAAUGGAAAGAAAACAGUUACUCCAGCUGCGACGUCUGAAGGGGCCCCGCACUUCGUCCCUGGUCAUAAGACACCGCAAGAGUUUAGUUAAGUGGCUUGAUACCAAGGAAGAGGUGGGCCCUGCACUCCUAAAAUCCCAAGCUCCGGCCCCUUACAGUCUCAUCUGAGAAACACAUCUUCAACGGCAGGCCAAAUUCCUCCUGCGAGCAACAUUCUGUAGCUGCAGCUGAUGGCAAGAUGUCACCAGCGGCUGAUGGCAAAAUGUCACCAGAGUCGCGGGUUAACCACCCCAUCCGCUAUCCAAGGCCCUCUCCCCGCUACCCUUUCAACCUUGUCCCAGAGGCUUUUAUGUUGGGGUAUGGCAACAAACUCUGUGGCUUUGUGUACCCACCCACAUUAAAGGCUAAAAUGUGAAAUAAACCAGUGCCCUUA